UAACAUUCUAAUUGUAAGUUGCUCUGGAUAAGAGUGUCUGCUAAAUUACUUAAA
rfam:Salmo salar isolate Sally breed double haploid chromosome ssa27, whole genome shotgun sequence.